CGGAGAGUGGCGCAGUUGGCUAGCGCGCGCGCUUUGGGAGCGCGAGGUCCCGGGUUCAAGUCCCGGCUCUCCGACCA
rnacentral:tRNA from 4 species